UACGAAGGGGGCUAGCGUUGCUCGGAAUUACUGGGCGUAAAGCGCACGUAGGCGGCUUUCUAAGUCGGGGGUGAAAUCCUGGAGCUCAACUCCAGAACUGCCUUCGAUACUGGAGAGCUUGAGUCCGGGAGAGGUGAGUGGAACUGCGAGUGUAGAGGUGAAAUUCGGUAGAAUUAUUCGCAAGAACACCAGUGGCGAAAG
rnacentral:rRNA from 1 species